AGGAACAGGGCUUGUGCGGGGGGAAAGGGGGUGCCACCCCAUCUUAAUCUGAUCCCUUUCUCCUCAUCCAGGUCACUAACACCCCCGCCGGCCGCUGUGUACCACCACCUGGCCACUGCCUGCAGAAGCGAUGGUCUGAACCAGCCUCCAGAAACCUCCAGUAGGCAGGGUGGGUCAGCAGAGAAGCCGUCAGAUAUGUAUGAGCCUCUUAAACAGUCCAGACAUCCUGGAUAUUCCUGGUCAUUCCCAGGACCCUGGCUGGGACCAACCCCUACACCUGUUAGGAAAAAGUUUACAGGCAGGGAAAAGGCUUCUUGCAAGCAAGGUCAUUCUCUGUAGUGCCUAUUGGACAUCUCGCGGCCUAUGUAGUGAAUGUACAAUAAAGUGUGUCCUGUGA